GAUGGUGGAUGGUUAGAGGAUCGACAAACAAGUGGUAGGUAGCAAGACAUAGCGAUAAAAGAGACAACUAGCAUAACAAAGAUAGUAGUGAUAUCCAAGGUAAUAGUCAGCAGAAGUUGGUAAAAAAGCUGAACCAAACACAACCUAAGUGAAGUUUGAUAUGCAACGAGUUUCAUAUUAGAGAAACUCCACAUUUAAGUGAUUUAGUUAACUUUAGAUUAGGCACCCAACGAGUUUAAAUGUUAUUUAGCAUGGAAAGAGCUGAAGCACAAUUAAACUAUCUAUCUAGGCAUUUCAAAUGAGACGAGAAACAAUAUAUAGCAUUUAUGGAACAACCCCAUAUGUAAAUUUUGAAUUUGGUCCAUAU
rnacentral:lncRNA from 1 species